CGCUCCGGGAAACCGAAACGUUGUUGAUGCGAAACCGAGGGCGACCUGCUCCGCCAUGACGCAGGCACCGUUUACCGCAAAGGACGCAGUGGGGUUCAACUGGCCCCAGCGCGCGGAGAUCGGAGCUGCCAGGCCUCUCCCGCUGGCGCGUGGCUGCACCCAGGAGUGAAGAGCAGCAGCACUUAAAAGGAGUAAGGAGCAGCAAGACCUAAUUGGGGACAUAUCAGCUGUCUUGCAUACUGGGAGAACCAGAUGUAAUUUUCCUUAAGCAAAUAUAGAGGGUGAAAUAGCACACAGAGAGGAAGGAGGCCACUGUGAUCCUGGAUCAUCUCUGAGUGUUGGUAUUGUGGGUGAGUUAUCUUUGAU